rnacentral:lncRNA from 1 species
GGGUACAUGCUGAUGCUGGCGGUUAUGUCGUUCAACGGCGGCGUGUUUGUGGCGGUUGUUGUUGGGCUUGGAUUGGGGUACUUGCUGUUUAGGAGCGGGUUUGAUGAGAAUAUGCUUAUCCAGGACGAAUCUUGCGCUUGUGCCUGACUGAUCUAGCCAUGGCGUGUUCUAACUUUUAUCAGAAAAAAAAUCUCUGUAUGUUUAGUAGGUUAGCUAUGUUUGUGUGGACGAUCGGAUGUGUAAAAAGGAAACCUGGUAUUCUGAUGAUGCAUGCAGCUCUGAGCUCUGUUUAAUUACUUCAUCUCUUCCCCCUCUUCUGAUUAGGAUUUUGCAGAUCUGAUUUUGUGUUGUUCUGAAUUCCAUCACUUGCAAAGGAAAAUUCUAGCCGAUUCAGAAUUCCUGUUCAAUUCCGCCGGAUUAAG